UUCCGGCGGUGAUACAUGGUCCAUGUGUGGCCCCCAUGGGUUCUGAUUUGAGUAUUCAGCGCGGACUGAUUACGUCAACAGAUGUGUAUCGUAGGAUAGACAUGCAUCACGACUACAUGACAUCAUUAUUGCAUUUUGCAUCGCAUUUGCCUUAUCUUUGUCUGUGAUGUGUGGAUUGUAUCGAUUUACCCUUCUUAUGUGGAAUUUGAUCUACUUGCUCUUAAUUGUUGAUCUGAGGUUGAUGAGGAUAUACUGUUGGUUCUGGCUGUUGAAUAUGAUCUGUUUAGUAUAGGUUGGUUGGUUUGCUGCUAGAUUGAAGUUUCGGUUGUUCGGUUAUGAUUGAAAGGAGUUGUUUGUAGCUGCUUGUUUUGCUUAGUUUAGAGUUACUUGCGAGUACCUGUGGUUUUCGGUACUCACCCUUGCUUCUACACAAUUGUGUAGGUUGACAGCUCUCUC
rnacentral:lncRNA from 1 species